AAGCGUAAUAGAAUUCAUAAUGAUCGGACGGGUAAGGAUUCAUUUGCAUAUACGUAUACUGUCUGAAAUUUUAUAUGUCAAUAUGUGCUUUAAAAUUCUCCUGAGCCAAAACUUUCUCCAUCAUUAUGCGUUUUGAACAUUUCUAAGUCGGUCCAUGACGAAAAAACUUUUUCGAUCAGCUCGAAAUUUUUUAAGUCUCAAACUUUAGUUGACUCA